rnacentral:rRNA from 2 species
GGGUUGUGAGGUUAAGCGACUAAGCGUACACGGUGGAUGCCCUGGCAGUCAGAGGCGAUGAAGGACGUGCUAAUCUGCGAAAAGCGUCGGUAAGGUGAUAUGAACCGUUAUAACCGGCGAUGUCCGAAUGGGG